rnacentral:lncRNA from 1 species
GGGCGCGGUGGCUCACGCCUGUAAUCCCAACACUUUGGGAGGCCAAGGCGGGUGGAUCGCCUGAGGUCAGGAGUUCGAGACCAGUCUGGCCAACGUGGUGAAUCCCUGUCUCUACUAAAAAUACGACACUGGGGCUGGUGGCGGGCGCCUGUGAUCCCAGCUACUUAGAAGGCUGAGGCAGGAGAAUUGCUUGAGCAUGGGAGGUGGAGGUUGCAAUGAGCUGAGAUGAUCACGCCACUGCACCCCAGCCUGGCGACAGAGCAAGGCUCUGUCUCAAACAAAACAAAACAAAAAACAAACAAAAAAAUUUCUUUAAAUAAAAACAGAGAAUUCACUGGCAGUACCUCUUCCCUUUGAGAAAUAUUAAAAGUUCUUCAGGGAGAAGGAAUAUGAUAUACGUCAGAAACUAAAAUGUAUGUAAAAAAAGGGAGAGCAUCAGAGAGAAGUAAGUGAAGGUAAAAUAAAAUCUUUUCUUAUUCUUAAUUGACCUAACAGAAAACAAACAAAAAAAAAGUUUUCUUUUUUUGAGAUAGGGUUUUGUUCUGUUUCCCAGGCUGGAGUGCAGUGGCAUAAUUACGGCUCACUGCAGCUUCAACCUCGUAGAGAUGGGGUCUCACUAUGUUGCCCAGGCUGGUCUCAAACUCCUGGGCUCAAGCAAUCCUCACACCUCAGCCUCUCAAAGCUGAGAUUACAGGUGUGAGCCACCUCACCUGGCCCUUAAUCCCAGCUACUCAGGAGGCUAAGGCCUCCUGAAUCACUUGAACCAGGGAGUCGGAGGCUGCAGUGAGCCAACGUUGCACCACAGCACUUGAGCCAAAAUCAUACCAGUGCCCUUCAGCCUGGGUGUCAGAGCAAGACCCUGUCUCCACUCAGGACACUUCUGUGGCCACAUGCAGGUCUUUUCCCACACUGACCAAUUCUCUGAUACCAUUUGGGUGUCCUGCACGUCAAUUCAGUUCUGACACGAACUGCUACGUCCACAGAACGCCACCGGGCACUGCCUCUGGAGCGUGGCUUCAACCCACCUCUGAAGCCCACUGGCCCGCAUCCUUCAGUUUGGGGAACCUGCCCAAAAGCAGACACUGGCUAGCGAGCUGAAUAGACAAGUGUGCGGCGCUUUCCACAUAAAUCCCUAAAGAAUGACCCAAAGAGUCUGUCACUGAAGAACAAAUCCACACGGACAGCAAGAACCACAGAGUGCAGACCCCAGGGCCUGCGACGCCGGCGUGACAGACUGCAACCCCAGGGAGAGGAUGUCCUCUCCCCACCACACCCUCGCUCCUGCCACCCCUGUGCCCACACCGCAUGCCCAGCCGUGGCCUGGCCUCACCUUUGGAGGGGCACAAGGCAUGCAGGGUGGUGCCUGCACCUGUCCCUUGCUCUCCAGAGCCUGGCCCUUCACAGCCCUCCCCACUGACACACUCUCUUUGGAGCCACACUCCCUCUGGCUCCUGUCUACUUGCCUCACUCCACUUCACGGCCAAACCUGGCCCUGACCCCUCAUCACUGGCCCCCUCUCCGCCCAGCUCCACCAGCCUCUCCAGUGAGAUUCCAGUAACCAGCGACCCUGGGAGCACAUCCAACCCCCUUCUCUCCACUAUCCUGGGGCACAUCCAGCCCCCUUCUCUCCAUUCUGGUCAGAGUAGCACCCAGCACAGCAAGUCACCCUUCUUUCCUGAACAACCCCUCAGCCUUCCCCUGGACCCGCCUCGGCUGCCCCUCUCUCAGCGAGGCCUGCUCCUGGGCCGGGCACUGAAGCCCAGCCUAGAACCACACUCGACCCCCCAAGGCUUCAAACACCUCUGCCCUCCACCCCCACACUCACAUGCCCAAAUCCCAGAGGCCAGCUGCUGGCCUCAGACUGCCUGUUCAAACUCUGGCCUCAGCACCCAAGAGCAUCUCAAACUCCGUUCCUCACCCCCAUCUCCUGCUCCUCCCCAAAAGCCUCUCCCACUUAGCAUCCUCCAGGUGCUCAAGCCUAAUCCCUGUAGCUGGCCUGCUGAUCUUUUGCCUCUCAACCCCCUGAACCCAGCCAGUACUCCAGCAUUGCUACCACCGCCACUUCCUCCCUAAAGUCUGAGCCAUCGCCAUCUACCCUGGGACUGCCACAACAGUCACCAGCGCCCCCCUCAAAACUGUACUGGAAUAGGAUUUUUUUUUUUUAAAGUCA